rnacentral:rRNA from 1 species
GACGAACGCUGGCGGCGUGCCUAAUACAUGCAAGUUGAGCGCUGAAGGUUGGUACUUGUACCAACUGGAUGAGCAGCGAACGGGUGAGUAACGCGUGGGGAAUCUGCCUUUGAGCGGGGGACAACAUUUGGAAACGAAUGCUAAUACCGCAUAAAAACUUUAAACACAAGUUUUAAGUUUGAAAGAUGCAAUUGCAUCACUCAAAGAUGAUCCCGCGUUGUAUUAGCUAGUUGGUGAGGUAAAGGCUCACCAAGGCGAUGAUACAUAGCCGACCUGAGAGGGUGAUCGGCCACAUUGGGACUGAGACACGGCCCAAACUCCUACGGGAGGCAGCAGUAGGGAAUCUUCGGCAAUGGACGAAAGUCUGACCGAGCAACGCCGCGUGGGUGAAGAAGGUUUUCGGAUCGUAAAACUCUGUUGGUAGAGAAGAACGUUGGUGAGAGUGGAAAGCUCAUCAAGUGACGGUAACUACCCUGAAAGGGACGGCUAACUACGUGCCAGCCGCCGCAGUAA